GACGAACGCUGGCGGCGUGCUUAACACAUGCAAGUCGAACGGAAAGGCUCUGCUUUUGUGGGGUGCUCGAGUGGCGAACGGGUGAGUAACACGUGAGUAACCUGCCCUUGACUUUGGGAUAACUUCAGGAAACUGGGGCUAAUACCGGAUAGGAGCUCCUGCUACAUGGUGGGGGUUGGAAAGUUUCGGCGGUUGGGGAUGGACUCGCGGCUUAUCAGCUUGUUGGUGGGGUAGUGGCUUACCAAGGCUUUGACGGGUAGCCGGCCUGAGAGGGUGACCGGCCACAUUGGGACUGAGAUACGGCCCAGACUCCUACGGGAGGCAGCAGUGGGGAAUAUUGCACAAUGGGCGGAAGCCUGAUGCAGCAACGCCGCGUGCGGGAUGACGGCCUUCGGGUUGUAAACCGCUUUCGCCUGUGACGAAGCGUGAGUGACGGUAAUGGGUAAAGAAGCACCGGCUAACUACGUG
rnacentral:rRNA from 1 species